GCGAUGGCGACACUGGUAGGCAGCAGGAGGACCCGCUGGUCCGUAGUCUUGUCUGUGCUGGGCGUGGGCUGGGUGGUCGCUACCUCCGUCACAGCCUUCGGCAUGUACAUGGUGGCCUGUCAUAACUCCGUCUCUGCCGUGUCCUAUGGUACCAGAGUUGAUGCGAGGGAAAGUACAAGUCAGGCGUCACUGGACAAUCCGCCAGACUACGAGUCUCUUAUUAAAGCUGAGACACCGCCACCAUCCUUCGACGAGGUGCAUUUCUACGAACACUACACCAAUACCUCAACCACUACCACCAUUCCCACCACCACCACUAACACAAUCCCCAACACCACCACGCCAGUCACAACAAGCACUCCCUCUUAUCAGCUACACUACACACCCGACACAUUCGCUCCUCACCAGCCCGACCAUACAGACAACACUACCCUAACAAGCCACAAAUCUGAAUACACGAACGAAUUCUUCACUGCUACUUGCACUAGUCACACCUCUACCAGUCAUAAACCCGGCCCCAUCCAAGACCUCGCCCCUAUCCACGUUCCGUGCGUGUAAAUUAAGUUUAACAAUUUAGUUUCAUGGUUUAUAACUGUAUGGUUUUGUGAUGAAGAUAUCAUCACCUCUUCUGUGUACUGGAGAGGCAGUAGCUACUAAAACCACAGUGGAAUCAUUGACGACAUCCUCAUUGACCUGCUCAAGUCUUCCAGCCCAGAUCGACAGAUGUCAUCACCUAGGUGUACGAAACCCAACCUGUGUGAUAGAUCAUGCCAGGGAAACACAACCAACUAGCUGUUGUACUGCCUGCUGGGUAGCAACUUACUGUGCAGGUGUUCCCAUUACGUAGCUAUCAUGUACAGCAGAGUAAGAUAGCAGCACACUGCGGAUGCAUCAAAUUUUAUUUACGGACGCUUACAUGAAACUUAAGAACAGUAUAUUGUGAUAAUAAUUUGUUUAAAUAUACUUUCUGUCAUAACAGAGAGUUAGUUAUCUCAGUGUAUGCAUACUGAUAUUAUCAGAGUGUAUGUACACUGAUAUUAUCUCAGUGUAUGUACACUGAUAUUAUCUCAGUGUAUGUACACUGAUAUUAUCUCAGUGUAUGUACACUGAUAUUAUCUCAGUGUAUGUAAUAAAGUGUACUUAGCAACACAUAGACAGUUGGAUCAUAUAAGACGCACGUUCGGUAGACAGGACUUAAAAUUGUGUCAACUUUAAACCUAACUUGCUGUAAUGGAAGCUAGGAAAAUAGUUAUGGUAACUUUAUUACAUGUUGCAGUGUAUACUGUUACAUUUUGCUAUGUCUAUUGUUGUUACUGUGUCUAUCACUGCUUGUUAAUGUGUCUAUUAUUUCUUGUUACAGUGUCUAUCAUUAUUUGCUACAGUGUCCAGCAUUACGUUUUACAGUAUCCACUGCUACAUGUUACAGCGUCUACUGUAACACGUUAGUGUUUAUCUGAAAGCAGUGACAAUUUUUUUUUUUGAUACUGUUAAUGAUUCUCAAUACUGACUUGGUAGUGGAUGCAGUGACAGACCAACCACAUGCUGAGGCAGUGAGCACACUUUGCAGGAGCCGACCUUGAGAAGUGUGAUCAUAGUGUCAUGUUGCAUAAUAUGCGUGGCAAAAGGAUGAGGGAAGAAGGUCUGCAAUUGGAAUUUCGGCCUUCCAACAAACAGAACGAAAAGAGUAAUAUACUCAACAGAGUUAAGUCCGAGGCUGCCACAGUGCAGCCUCGGACUGCACUGUGUCUGACAUAGAGUGGGACAUGAUCUAUAGCACCGCAUCCUCCGUGGCUGAUGGUACUAGACUUUGGAAGAGCGUGAUAUCAGUUGAGCACACUGUGAGGCGGAUAUAAGUAAGUCUCUCAGUGAGCCGCCAGGAAUCAAUAUGAUGUUUAAUGAGGAUAAAUUUCAGAUAAUUCUUUAUGCAAAAAUGGAAGAAAUAAAAACUUGAACAGAGUAUGAAACUAAUUCUAACCACUCAUUAAAACAAAAAACUUAGUGCAGGGUUCUGGAGUGAUAAUGUCAGGGAAUCUCACUUUCAAGGAUCACAACAGUGUCAUUAUCACAACCGCGAGGAAAACGAGAGGAUGGAUACCAAGAGCCUUUAAAAUAGAUGUCAAGUCAGUGAUGAUCCUCUUCCAGUUACUUGCUGUCUGUAGGCUGGCAUAUUGCUCUACACAAGAGUUCCUCUGAAAGAGUACAAAGUUGCAGAGCUGGAGAAUGUAUAGAGAAACUUCAUUGCUCGUGUAAGUCUAAUUAAGCACUGAAAAUAAUUGAAAUAUUUGAAGUCCCUUGACUUGUACUCCUUGGCACAGAGGCGAGAAAGAUACAUCAUAAUCUAUAACUGGAAAAUACUAGAGAGAUUGGCACCAAAUCUGAGCACAAAAAUCACUUCCUACGGUAUCAAGAGGUUCGACACAUGGUGCAAAAUACCCCUUUACGAAAUAAGUGUUAAGUCCCAUACAUAACUCCCGUACAUAACUCUCAUACAUAACUCCCAUACAUAACUCCAAUACAUAACUUAUACAUAACUCCCAUACAUAACUCCAAUACAUAACUCCCAUACAUAACUCCCAUACAUAACUCCCAUACAUAACAGGAUUACCAAAAGAUCCUUAGGUGCGGUCAAGACCCCUGGGUGUCUUCAAGACCCCUGGGUGUUUUCAAGACCCCUGGGUGUCUUCAAGACCCCUGGGUGUCUUCAAGACCCCUGGGUGUUUUCAAGACCCCUGGGUGUUUUCAAGACCCAUGGGUGUUUUCAAAACCCCUGGGUGUUUUCAAGACCCCUGGGUGCUUUCAAGACCCCUGGGUGCUUUCAAGACCCCUGGGUGCUUCCAAGACCCCUGGGUGUUUUCAAGACCCCUGGGUGUUUUCAAGACCCCUGGGUGUUUUCAAGACCCCUGGGUGUUUUCAAAAGAGAACCGGAUAGGUUCCUAAAGUCAGUUCUUGAUCAGCCCAUAUCACCACCUGCCCAUGGUGUCACCCCCCUACACAAAGUGUCACCACCUACCCACGGUGUCACCCCCACCCAAGGUGUCACUGCCUAUCCACGAUUUCACCACCUACCCACGGUGUCACCCCCCACCCAAGGUGUCACUGCCUAUCCACGAUUUCACCACCUACCCACGGUGUCACCCACCCAAGGUGUCACUGCCUAUCCACGGUUUCACCACCUACCCACGGUGUCACCACCUACCCUCGGUGUCACCACCUACCCACGGUGUCACCACCUACCCACAGUGUCACCACCUACCCAAGGUGUUGCCACCUACCCAGGUGUCACCACCUACCCACGGUGUCACCACCUACCCACAGUGUCACCCCCUACCCAAGGUGUUGCCACCUACCCACGGUGUCACCACCUACCCACGGUGUCACCACCUACCCACAGUGUCACCCCCUACCCAAGGUGUUGCCACCUACCCACGGUGUCACCACCUACCCUCGGUGUCACCACCUACCCACGGUAUAACAUACUAAAAUAAUGUAUUUAAUAUCUUAUCAGUAAGUAAAUAUCGAAUCUUUCUCUAUUAUAUUUACGUACCUUCAUUAUUCUAGCUCUCACAAUGAACACAAAACAAUGGCUUCGAAAUGUAAGCAAUAAAUGGCUUUUCUUUUACAAUAUAAAUUGUGAGAAAUUACCUGCAUGAGAUUUACAAGGUAUUACCUGAAUUAUUACAAAUAAUUUAUUACAUGUAAGUAAUUUGGGUGAGGUAAUUUGGACUUGGUCACAGUAGGUCACAGAACUGUCACUCCCUCGAUGCCCAUUCCUUCACCACUCUCACAAAAAGCUAGACCUAAUAUUAAAUUAAUAAUUAACAUUAACACAAAAAAGUUACUCUGGUAAAUUAAAAUUAUGUGGACUGUAAAAAAUUCAAAAGAACCGAUCUCCAGUAAGGAUCAAUGGUAACACUAAUACACAGACAAGGUAAGAAUUUCCUAAUUAACUUUUUACCUGUAUAUGGUGACAAAAUAUCAUGUAAGUAUUAAAAAGAGAAAUUUUGAUGUUAAUACCAUCUAUGUCACAGGUGAGACACCCUAUUGCCUACCUAACAAAUAGAAUCUUAACUGGCCAGUCAGUAAUCUAGUUGCUAGGUAGCAAUGACACACUUCCCUGGGUGAGCUGUGAUGACUCCAAAUUACUGACAUUCUGUCACUACCGACCAGUGUUCACAGAUUCAGUUUUCUUUAUGGCCUCUCCCCUUGGGUAAAAAACAGGGAAGGAGACAGGGAGGAGACAAGACGAACAGCAGACAACCUUCCACCCACGUGUCACGAUAUUGCACGCAAAGAGUGUAAUCUUUAUUUGGAGCAUGUUAACACACUCACAUAGGCUGCCUCCCCAACCAGCGAACCAGAUACUAAGGAUCUAACGAUCUAACGAGACCCCAUCUUCAGAUCAGUAUCUAGGUUCAGUCAAUCAUAUUGUGGAUCUGGCCACCUACGUGUCACCACCUACCACGGCUACCUGACGUGGAAACCACUCACGUUUUCACCCUUGUCAUUUCCAUGCGAGAGCUGGUUGAAGCACGGUGGUCUGCAUUCUAUUAGCUUCAGUUCUGCCUUGAUUACCGUGGCAUGCACUAAUACCUAUUGCUGUACAUAGUGUAUACAGUGUACAUACUUCUGUCCAUACUUGGUGAAGGAUAAUAUAAUUCAAAGUUUUUCUGCUAUGUUUAUUUUUCUCCCUUUACACCCAGGAUAACAGGCCUUUGAGUAUCUUGGUUGUGAUACACGAGCACAACACCCAUGCUAUCUACACAACCCCCGCCCCCCAACACCUUCCAAUCAGUUGGAAUCACUCACUCGUUUCCUCACAAGUAGUUUGGUAGUUUGUGAUUACCAUUAAUAUGCCAUAUUUACAUUAUCACUUAACAUUAUGUUACACUACUCAGUACUAUCUUACUCUAGUCAACACUAUCUUACAUUACUGAACACUAUCUUACACUAGUCAACACUAUCUUACACUAGUCAACACUAUCUUAUAACUCAGCACCUUCUUACUCUGCUCAACUAUCUUCACUAUUAACAUCAUGUUCACUACUCAACACUAUCUUACACUAUUCAACAAUAUCUUACACCACUCAACACUGUCUUACACCACUCAACACUUACAUUAUUCGACACUGUCUUACACUACUUAACCGUAUCUUACACUAUAUAACACUACACUACUCAACACUUUCUUCAAUAUUCAUCGUUAUCUUACAGGACUCAACAUUGCCUUACACCUCUCAACACUAUAUUGCACUACUCAACACUAUUAUACAAUACCUGGAUGGUGUUGGGAGGUCAGCGCCCCCACAGUCCGGUCCAUGACCAGACCAACAUAAUCUUGACUAAUUAACGUGAUUACUAGAUAUUCACCUUUACUUGUAUACAUUAUCUUGACUAAUUAAAGUGAUUCCUGGGUAAUUAUAUUUACUUCUAUUGAUAUUUAUUUCUAUGUUAUACUUCCAAGAGUUAUAUUUUCAAGAGAAUUUGAUAGGCUCUCAUCUCUUAUCUUUGUGUUAGUAGCGAUCUUCAAAACUUACACGCUUUCACAAUGGAUUCCGAGGAAGUAGAAUUUCUGGGUGUUUCACACCCCCUGCUAGAAAAUACUAGAUUAUUGUUACUAGAAGAGGUAUUCAUAAUACUGUAUAGCACGCCCCGCCCUUUCAGUAAAUGUUGCAAAAUGGUGAGCUGGAACAAGCUGGAGGUGGCUCCAGCUCUGGAUCCUGGAACAGGAUGUAUAGCAAUACUAGGACACCCGAUGCUGGGUAUGGUGCACUCUAUCUCUGUCUACCGAUGCCUGGAUGGAUCCAUUUUGUUUUUUGAUAGCCAGUUGGACGCAUCCUCCCGUCAGCUCUUCACAGCAUACCUGGACACCCAUCCUGAUUAUAAAGAAUACGUGAUCGUAGAGGGAGUCGAGCAAAUAGGAGCUACAUGUUCAUAUCUCGCAUUGACCUUCUUGGACGUGGCUACUAGUUGUGGCCUCACCACCGCAGAGGAGAUCAAUCGGUACUUUAAGAUUUAUAUGAUGUAUUUCCCUGAAGUGACCGCCGUAGCGAGAGUAAGACAAAUGAUCAAAGAAUUCGAAAAUGACAUUGAUGUUAACACUACCAAGAAGCAAUACAACUUACUCAGCUUCAAAUUAAAACAGUAUCAAUCCCGCAGGAAGAAAACAUCAACUAGAAAACGUCGCUUGCCCACACUGGCUCCCUCAAAACCAAGUAAGAGAAUUAAAAAUGAAAACGCUAGCCGUUCAAGAAAACGAAGCAAUCAUAACAGGAAAGAGUCAACGGAGGAGUCCAAAAAAUCCUGAGGCCUACAGAGGAUACGAUCAGUUAAAGAAAUAUACACAAUACGGUUACUAAAACAAAAUGCAAAGUAACACGAAUUCGUGGAAAUCCCUAAUGCCACAGACAUCUGGUUCCACAAGAAGACUGACACUGGGGAGACAAGAUGCCACCGGUCCACCUCACACAAAACUUAAAAUUGGAAAAUAUUCACACAUAGGGCUGGGGUUAUGGAACACGGGGAUACAAUCCUCGGAUAGUGCAGCGACCAAAAUACAUCUACUUAUUAAUAUUAGCCAUAAGAAGAAUACCUGGAGACGGUUUCAGGGGUCAACGCCCCCGCGGCCGGGUCUGUGACCAGGUCUCGCAACAACAAUACCGAAAGGAAAAACGAGGUGUUCUCUUCUUAUGCCUCAAUAUCCAGCGCUUGUGAAGACAAAUAUGGUGAACAAAAUUUCAAAACAACUAUUACUGAGACAGAUGAGAUUUACGUUCUUGCAUUACAACUUUCUGAAUAACACUUCUUAAUGUCAAUUUCCAAUAAAACUACAGUUAAUUCUU